AUCUCUGCGUUUCUGUGGCUUUCUGAAGCUCUAGAAUGCCAGAAGAUAUGGAAUGCUUGCUCCAUAUGAAGAAGAGGACCAUGAUCUGAAUAUUUUGAGAAGAAUUUUGUUUUGUCCUGCUGCUUUUAAUGUUAUCCAGAAUUUUGUCUUCUCCAUGAGGCACAGUGCAUCUACUUACUGAUAGUCACAAAGGACUGUGGUGGCCAAUGCAAACAACCACAGAAGCAUUCAGAGGCUGUGCAUCUGAACCACUUCUUUCUGUGCUGGGGACUGUACAAAGAACCAGCUCUGUUAUAAAGAGGACUUUAUCCUGUAUAUUCAGAAUCCAGCGGAUUUCAUCAGUAAUUCAGAGGCUGGAACUGUUAAGUGGUUCCCAGAAGGAAAAUUGAAGGAUACCCUUUUAGUGCUUGUUUAUGGUGUGCUGUGUUACAGAACUGUAAAAUUACAUAUGGCAGAUUCUCAGAAUUCUCAGUUUUGUGGUUGGUUGUUGGUUUUUGUAUUGUUGGUUUUUUUUUAUUAUUAUUUUUUAAAUCAAAGUGUUGUUGAUUUUCCUUU
rnacentral:lncRNA from 1 species